UAAUGGAAAAGUGGUUAUUUUUUCAUUUUUUGAAGCCAUUUCGUUCUUCCAGUUCAAAAAGUCACGUAUAUGUGUUAAUUUGGAGUGGUGAUCGGCUGCCGUGGCUGGAGAGUACAAAUCGAAGUCAUCAGUUUUCUGAGCUUUUCUCAGAAUUAUUCAUGAGAAUGUACUCUUAUGAUCCCAUCAUGCGCUGUUACGCAUGAGGUCAUCUUACAGCGGAGAAUUCAAAUCUUAUGAAAGAGCUUGUGCGCUUUCAGGUUAACAUGACACAUAUUUAAUAUGUAACCAUGUGUGGAGCGUGCAUGAGAGAGCAGUUUCUGCUCUGAACGCCGUGAGGAGUUUAACAACACUCGCUGCGUGGAUCGUAGUUCAUAUCUGGACUGGAGCAAGCGUGUUUCAAGUUUUUGUGAACAUUUCAUAUUCUCUCGUGCUCUAAACAUGAACCAGCACUGUGUAUGCACACAUUAUCAUGUCUUCUUCAUAUGUGCAAAUAAGGGCACUGAUUUCUAAUGUGAUGUCACUGAUGUCUAAACAUGACCGCAAUGACACGACGGAUUAUUGUGAUACACAGCAAACAAUGAUAUAGGCCAAAAAUUCAAAGAAUCCUCUCUGACUCUUUGUGUGUGUGUUUAGCUCCUUCUGCCAGUAGUCUGCUGCAGGGCCUCAGCCUCAGUCUGCAGGAGAUCAACACUAAAUCACCAGGCGUCCCCUCCACCACACAGGUGUGCGGAGCGAAGCCCCAGUGUCAGGGGCAGGUGUUGAGCUCGCUUAGCCCGGGUGGCAGCGGCACACUAGUGCGGGCGGUGCCGGUCGUGUCGACAGGAUCCGGGAUGACCAAAACCACAACUAUCCACCAUCUCCUCACCAACGGCGGCCUGGCCAAACUAGCCCAUAGUCUGCCAGGACUGGCCCACGUCUCCAGUCAGAGCACGGGACUCAAAGUUCCCACCACUAUCACGGUGACGCUGCGCGGGCAGCCCAGCAGGAUUCCCGCUCUCAGCCACACGGGGAUGCCAGCGCCCGCUCACAGCGCACCGGACAACCAGGACUUCGAGGACUUUUCCAGGACAUUUUUAAUUUAAUUACAGCUGGAAUAAAAGACAAGGAUCACGCUCUAAAUGACCAGAAACUCUGAAAUGGACGAUAUGAAGCUGAAAUGGCCAUCAGUCACACAUCCAAUGAGCAUCCAAAAGCAUUAACAGAUGAACCGAGAGGAAUCAAAGGAAGAAACCCGGUUUAAAGACUAUCUUAAAGUCUGCUGAUUUACCAUACGACCUGCAAAAGCGCCAUCUAUAGACACUUUCUUGCACGUGGACUGAAAACUUGACUUUACACUUCAUUUGUCUAUUUUGUUUAUUAUUAUUAUUUCCCUUAUUCUGUUAUACUCUGGUUGUACAGCAUCAUGGGUAAUUUAUUGGAAAAUACACUGUUAUUAUUCUUAACAGUUUUAACAGUCUUUCCAUCUAUUUCAUAAAAAUGUUUCGUCAAUAUAGAAUUUUUGAUUCGUUUAAUUUUUGCCAGAAAGGUUUGGUGUUAAAAUUUUUGCACAGAACCCCAGCAGAGCCUGAGCUUUAUUUCCUCAUAACCAUAAAGAGCAAAAGAAAAAUGCAUCAUUAAACUGUCAAAAUACUGAUAAUAAAUUCAAGAUAUUUAAAAGACGACAUGAGAGUUUUUUUAAUUGAUUUUCCCCCGACAUUUUGUAUAUCCUCUGUCUUUUAGAUUAAUCAUGCGUCAGUCUUUCCUCACGACAUCAGGAUAGCUGUCCUUCAAAUAACCGUUAUAAUUAUGCCAACAGGGAUAAUAAUGUGUCUGCCUGAUUAAGUCACAAUUGUUUUGAUUGCUGACUGUUUUUAUUGCCCCUAAUGAGGGAAACUAGUGGAGGUUGACAAGCAUGAAGCGGAAUGGUAGACACGGAUUAAAGGGGUCAUAUGAUGUUGCUAAAAAGAACAUUAUUU